UACGAAGGGUGCAAGCGUUACUCGGAAUUACUGGGCGUAAAGCGUGCGUAGGUGGUUCGUUAAGUCUGUCGUGAAAGCCCCGGGCUCAACCUGGGAAUGGCGAUGGAUACUGGCGGGCUAGAGUGCGGUAGAGGGUGGUGGAAUUCCCGGUGUAGCAGUGAAAUGCGUAGAGAUCGGGAGGAACAUCAGAGGCGAAGGCGGCUACCUGGACAAUUGCUGACGCUCAGGCACGAAAGCGUGGGGAGCAAAAGGG
rnacentral:rRNA from 1 species